CCUCACAGCAGUGUUCUGGAAUCCUACGUGAGGGAGAAACACUCAGAACCCAUCAUCUGUGUUCUGGAAUCCUAUGUGAGGGA
rnacentral:pre_miRNA from 1 species